GGGUCGAGGCGGGUUCUGUUCCCCCCUCGACUCGUCUCUCUGAAACAAACUCUGGGUUUCUACCCUGCAGUUACGUCCGUUCAUUCAACCCAUCAGACGUUUCCUUUUUCCUCUAAACACCCGCUUUGUAAUCCUUUCUUUAUUCAAUAAUCCCAGAUAAAACCUUAUUUGUUUUGGAUUAGUCUCAACAUGUUUUGCAGAUGCAGUUUUUUUUUUUUAAGCCUGGAAGACUUUUGAAGAAAAUGAUUUUUCUUUUUCUAAUUAUGAAUCUCUACUCGUACUCAAGAGGCACGUGUCACAUCAGCACCGUUUUCAAACCAGAAAUCCUCUCAUUCUCUGUUGCUUUUUCAAGCCUCGUAUUAAAUCACUCGUCUCUGCUCUUUUGCACAAAUUUAUCUCUUCGUGGCAGUGAAAAGCGGCGCUGCUGGAGGAAUGUACGACAACACAGCAACAAAGAGGUGUGGGAGAAGUUCUUGGUUCGGUUGUAAAUUAAAAACCUCUUUCUUCUCGCAGGAAGAAAUUUAGAACUGCUGUUUUAAUCUCAGUCGCUAUUCUCCCCCCCCCCACCCGCCUUUGUUUAUUUGAAGGAAGAGAGGGAACUGGAAGGAAAUAUUUCAUGCUCAUGUUCAUUUUUCAGAUCAAAACACAGAUACGGAGGAGUUAUUGGCGAAGCGUCUUGGAAAUGAAUGCCCUUUUCACAAAGCCUGAAACAUCAACAACUCAUAAACAUGAUCCAGUGGAGAAUGGGAGCUGAUCCUGACAGCUUUGGACCUUUCCGUUGACGCUGGGAGCCUCAGCAGUACCUGACUUGUGACUCCUCGUGUAAACAAUAAAGACCUGAUCCUGUCUGAACAUCUUCCAGUGAGGGAAACCGGUCCUUCCCCCCCCCCCCCCCCCCCCCCCCCCGAGGUGCAGCUGUUGUGUAAUAGUGAAGAUUAUCUUUCUAUUUAGUCUAAAUCGGACGAGCAGAUGUCUCAAGCCUAACUGUUACUGACUUGGGGACAAUGUUGUAAUGUUCCAAUUAGAUUUUGCUGUGCAGUUUGAGACAUUUUCUGUGACACUUUUGUGUAAAAAUGUACAGUUUUCAGAUCAAACAAACUUCACUGGUCCACACAGAGAAAAAAUAGCAACUGGAUGUUGAUGAGUUCACAGGGUUGCCCAUUUUAGGCCCUUUUCUCGUCAUUUCUGUUGGAAAACCUGGACUUUUCCUCCACAUUUCUUAAACAUCUUUAUCUUAUCUUUGACUGAAGGAGAAACUUCUGGGAUCAGGGCGUGCGUAAUGCUGUGUGACGCAUUUGUUUUGUUUUCUUCUUGAAAUCAUUUCAUGCCUCUGAAAUCUCAAAAUGUCUCUUUCUCUGCACUGGUUUUGAUACCCAAACUAUGAUGCUACUCACGUUGUGUCUACAAUGGGGCUGUUUUCUUUUAAUUAAUUAAAUUCACUGACAUUUUGACCAAAAUAAAAAUAUUUUCAGCAUCAGUCACAUGUCCUCUGAAAGAAACGACCAACAACGUCCUAUUAUUGAUACAAAGUGUAUUUUGUUAUUUGGCAUGCAAACCUUUUGGUCAGACAUAAUGGACUCGAAUUUGUUGCAUUUAAACUCAGCCUCUUAAAACUGUUAACUUUUUCCAGUUUAGUUUAAAAUAUGUUUCUUUUUGCGGUAACAAACUGCUAAUCAUGCCCUAGAAUCGGCGUUAAUGAAACUGUUAAAGCUUUCAUUAGCUUUAGUGCAACUCCAGUUCUCGAGUGGAUGAAAAAUAAUGAGGCAUUUUCUUUAAACAUCAUUUGUUUAUUAAUAUAAACAUAUAGAAACUUGGUUUAAAAAAAUAAUAAAAGUUUGUUUGUGACGAUUGGUCCCACUUUACUGUUUUGUUUUUCUUAUUUUUCUAAAUCAAACAAACUGUUUAGCUUUUUAGCAGACAACUAAGUGUUUGUUUUUUUUUGUUUGUUUUUGUUCCCAAAACUGACUGAUAUUUUGAUCGGUUCAAAAUCUAAUCUGUCCACAGCAUGAAGCUGCCAAGACCAAGUUUGCCUGGAUAAAACCUAUUAUACGUCCAUUUUGGGAAACUGUUUGCCGUUUUGUAAAGCUUAUGUAUAAUAAUAAUGUUGAUCUCUUAAAGUUUAUAUUUACAUGUUUGUUCACUGAGAGCAUGUGGAACCACAGUCAUUGUUUUAGCUUGUUUGCCCAAAUUUGACCAAUAAAUUUGAUUCUGA